rnacentral:lncRNA from 1 species
CCAUAGAGUAGUAUGCUUUUUCGAUGUAACCGAACCACUGUGACCAGCCGAAAAUAAUCAAUGUCAGGAAGACACUCGCAUCUCUACAAUGGUGGAAGAUUGCUAGACUUAAUAUUUGGUUGAAAAAAAUUUAGGUUCAGAUCUCUUCCUUAAUUAGUCAUAACGGUUAUGACUAACCUAGUGGUAUGGGCUAGCUCGAGUCCACAAGUAACCUAGUACAAAACAUAAUCUCCCAAAA